rnacentral:rRNA from 1 species
UUAAAAAGCUCGUAGUUGAAUUUCGGGACCAUCAUGUCGGUCGUGCCUAGGUACGUACUGGCAUUGUUGGUUUCUCCCUUCUGACGAACCACGAUGUCAUUUAUUUGGUGUUGUGGGGAAUCAGGACUGUUACUUUGAAAAAAUUAGAGUGUUUAAAGCAGGCUCACGCUUGAAUACAUUAGCAUGGAAUAAUGAAAUAGGACGUUUGAUUCUAUUUUGUUGGUUUCUAGGAUCGACGUAAUGAUUAAUAGGGAUAGUUGGGGG